UGGGUCAAUUUUAGUGGCAGGUGGCUUGUA
rnacentral:piRNA from 1 species